rnacentral:rRNA from 1 species
GACGAACGCUGGCGGCGUGCUUAACACAUGCAAGUCGAACGGAAAGGCCCCUUUGGGGGUACUCGAGUGGCGAACGGGUGAGUAACACGUGCGUAACCUGCCCUUGCCUUCGGGAUAACUUCAGGAAACUGGGGCUAAUACCUGCUAGGAAUCCUUGCCGCAUGGUGGGGGUUGGAAAGCUUUGGUGGGUUGGGAUGGACUUGCGGGUUAUCAGCUUGGUGGUGGGGUAGUGGCUUACCAAGGCUUUGACGGGUAGCCGGCCUGGGGGGGCGACCGGCCAAAUUGGGACCGGGGUACGGCCCAGACUCCUACGGGGGGCAAGAGUUGGGAAUAUUGCACAAUGGGCGGGAGCCUGAUGCAGCAACGCCGCGGGCGGGAUGACGGCCUUCGGGUUGGAAACCGCUUUCAGCAGGGGCGAAGCUGGUGGUGACGGUACCUGCAGAAGAAGCACCGGCUAACUACGUG